GGGGGGCAUAUUCCGAGAUAAGAGAAAGUUUCUCUGUUUAAGAAAUUAGGUCAACAUCAUCAGUGCUUCUCACAGCAGGAGACUGGCCAGUUUCCUUGGUAACUACGAAAUCUAAUAUAUCGAGAUGGUCAGCACGUGUAUCCAUUUCACAAAUUUCGCAUUUGAGCUGCGUAAUUGAUGCACACGGAAAUUUUUGUUGGAUUUAAGAAAUUUGGAUAAACUACUUCGCAAGACAAUAUAAAAUGAACAAGUACUCAAGGGGUAAAGGGACGUCAUAUUGGUAAAUUAGAAGACGUGUGCAACAAAGCAACAUCAAGUUCUACAGUUUCACUAUUUAACAAAAGCCCCACUAGCUCAGGUGAGAUCAUUAUCAACUAUUGGUGGUGAAAACACGAAAAGUUCAGUAAGGAGACUACUUUCCCACAUGAUCACCACAAAACUAGCAGUAAACAUCAACUGGAUGGGAAAAGGGGGGAAAUUGCCUUCUCUUCACUGAAAUUACAGGAAAUAUUGAAAGAAACAAUGAGGAAGAAUCGCCUCUGUGUUAAUGCAACAGACGUGGAAAUUUUCAACAUGGCAAAAGACUGGUUUCGCUUUGCUAGUGAUAGAGAUGGGGGACGAAGGAGAAGGGCAGAGAAAAAGAAACUUCAAAUUCAAAUUCAAGCUGAACAGAAUGAGAGUGAGCUUGAGGAUGAGACCAAUAAAUAAAUAGAUUCUUUGUAAAACGCGUAUUACCGCUCUCAAUACUUACAUGUAAUAGAAUAUUAACAAUUUCCUUGUUAAUUUUGUAAUUGUAUGGAUACCUUCUUUUUCAUUUGUGUAACUGAUUUUUUUAAACUCUUUUAAGGUAAUACACUAAAACAUUAAUAAAAUAUUAGGCAAAUGAAGAUCCCUUUCAAUUUGAUUAGUUAUUAACUUUGUUGUUGCAGAGUUCUGAGACUUCAUUUUUAUAUUUAAUAUUUUAUGUCAUGCCUUAUAGAGUUAUGGAACUUUUAACUUUUUAUAUGUACCUUUUAUGUCAUUCCUGCCUCUGAAAUAUAUAUUACAGGUCCUUUUCUGACUUGUCAGUUUUGUAGUUAUUAUGUACAUAUACCAUGAUACUUGUUGAUGAAUAUAUAUUGCAUAUGUCAUAAAGAUUUGUUCAUUUUGCUUUUCAAAGGAAUAAGAAAACAUUACUUUUUCGGGAAUAGUUUGUCUUCAUUGAUUCAACAUGCUUCUCCCCAUAAACGUUCACUGCUUUGUUAGAGAAAAAAUGUGUCAAAAGAGGAAAGAUGCAAUGUUUAGGACAGCCUACUGGGAAAAUUCCAGGUUACAUACCCAUCAAUGUGUGAAGUAGUUUUAUAUUAUGCCAAGACAAUCUUACAUCAUCACAGUGCAAUGCUAGCUUUGUAUCAAAAGAUAUAUUUUUAUAUAUUUCCUUUCAUGAGUUUUAUAUGAUUUUUGUGUGAUAGCAUAGUGUGUGUGUGUGUGUGUGUGUGUGUGUGUGUGUGUGUGUAUCUAGUUAUAUUUACCAUCAAUUUGUUUAGUAAUGUAGUUUAUACUCAUGUGUGCGGUUGUUGGACUCAACCUUGUGAUGGGCUUUAAUAGUAUAAUUGCAUUGUAUUGGAUGGUAUUUGUCUUCAUUUCAUACAUUUCUUAAAUGUCUGGGACAUAUUUCUGAAUGUAAUCCUUUUUGGUAUUCCUGUAUUUUGAUAUUUUUAAUAGCAAUAUUUUUCAUAUUGUAUCGUAAUAUUGUUCAUUACAUAUAUUUUUUUCUUAUAUAUGAAUUUACAUCCCAGGCAAGAUGUUAUGUGAAAUAAAAAAAAAUGCAAUAAAAAAUAUUAAUUAU